UAAAUGCGCCGUGCACCCUGGUCUCUGUAGAGCUCAUUCCCCAGAGCAGUCCCUGACUUGCAGAAGUCCCCGCAGCACUCCCACGCUGAGGCACGUCUCCUGCUUGAUCACCCUCAGUCACUGCUGGCCCCUGCCAUCCCUGAGUCAUGGGGCAAACAGAUGGAGAACUAAAGAAUCGACAAACUAAGAUGUAAGAAAGAAUACCAA
rnacentral:lncRNA from 1 species